UAUUAUUCUAUAAUUAAUUUUUUUGACUAAAGUAGUAAAAGAUAUGUUCUGGAAAUUUAAAUUAUUUGGCGGUGUUUUAAUCCACUCAGAGGAAUCUGUUUUAUAAUCGAUAAUACACGAUUUGUUUUACUUAAUUUUUUUAUGUUUAUAUACCGCCGUCGUAAGAAUAUUUUGUGAAGGAUGAGAAUUUUCUUUAUUUGUUUAUUAAAAGUAAGUCAGGUCAAGGUGUAGCUUGUAAUUAAGUAAUGAUGGAUUACAAUAAGGUUAUUUAUAUGAAUUUUAAAUUUGAAUUUUAGAUGAAAGUGGAUUUGAUUGUAAAUAUAUUUUAAUUGAUAUGUUGAUUGGGGCUCUGAAACAUGUACAUAUCGCCCGUCGCUCUCAUUUUUAAGGUGAG
rnacentral:rRNA from 1 species